CUACCAUCUAACCCCGUUCAGU
rnacentral:siRNA from 1 species